UUUGCCCCAAGGAGUUCAAGAAACUCGUCGUAACUAAUGACGCCAUGAUUGGACCACCAAUUCAGGUUGCCUUCUCUUUUUGUUGCCAUCAUAUACUUUAGGUUGGGUUUACAAUUCCUCUAUUGUUUGCAUGUUGUUUGUCAGUUUUUUUGUCUUGUAUGAUGCCUUUUCUAGGGAUAUGAUUUAGUGAAGAGGGGUUUUCCUAUGAUUUUGGCAUGUUGCAUUUAAAGAUUUGAUAAAUCCCUUAGUUCGCAAUUUGCAUAGUAAGAAAGUGUUCACCUGUCUAACCUAUCCUCACUCUUUAUGCAGGUCACAGGCAGAUAAAGUGCGGCGUGGUUUGUAUUUUCCACAAAUCCUUCAUGUGUUGUUUAUGUCUUAUAAAUCCCUCAUCAUCUACUCUUAUUUUUUUUAUUUCUCUCUACUCUUUUUGUCAGGUAUUACACCUACGUUCCCUACGAAUGAAAUUUUAGAAUUCCCAGUAAACGUGAUGCUACAAUAUUUUAGUUCCUCAAUUAUUUUUAGAAUUUUCAGCAAUGUGUAGUGCUGCUUUUAAAUGUGCUCGAUACAAUGAGAUAAUAACAAGACAAUUUUAUUUCGAACAA
rnacentral:lncRNA from 1 species